ACGGGUGAGUAAUAUAUCGGAACGUGCCCAGUCGUGGGGGAUAACUGCUCGAAAGAGCAGCUAAUACCGCAUACGACCUGAGGGUGAAAGCGGGGGAUCGCAAGACCUCGCGCGAUUGGAGCGGCCGAUAUCAGAUUAGGUAGUUGGUGGGGUAAAAGCCCACCAAGCCAACGAUCUGUAGCUGGUCUGAGAGGACGACCAGCCACACUGGGACUGAGACACGGCCCAGACUCCUACGGGAGGCAGCAGUGGGGAAUUUUGGACAAUGGGCGCAAGCCUGAUCCAGCCAUGCCGCGUGCGGGAAGAAGGCCUUCGGGUUGUAAACCGCUUUUGUCAGGGAAGAAAAGGUUCUGGCUAAUACCUGGGACUCAUGACGGUACCUGAAGAAUAAGCACCGGCUAACUACGUGCCAGCAGCCGCGGUAAUACGUAGGGUGCAAGCGUUAAUCGGAAUUACUGGGCGUAAAGCGUGCGCAGGCGGUUAUGCAAGACAGAUGUGAAAUCCCCGGGCUCAACCUGGGAACUGCAUUUGUGACUGCAUGGCUAGAGUGCGGCAGAGGGGGAUGGAAUUCCGCGUGUAGCAGUGAAAUGCG
rnacentral:rRNA from 1 species